AUCGCAUCGAAAUUCACGAAAAAACCGCCGAACAAUACUAUCGGCACUGAGGACACGGGACCGAUAAAAACACCGCUCUGGAAUAACAAACAUCACUUUUCAUUAGCCAAUCGCACAUUGAAGGGGUUGUGACGUCAUGAAGUACACGAUCAUCACGUAAGCCGUUGAGUACAAUAUCUGAAAAGAGAGGUCGUUUGAAGAUGAGAUUAUUCAUUGAGUUUCUUUAGCAUCGAAUAUUCAUGAAAAUAGUGAGAAAAUGGCCUUACUUGAAAUGGCAGAUCAGCCAAUGUUCUAGCAAAAUAAAAGGCCUUCAAGGAGUACCAAUAA